rnacentral:rRNA from 1 species
AUACGGAGGGGGUUAGCGUUGUUCGGAAUUACUGGGCGUAAAGCGUACGUAGGCGGACUGAAAAGUUGGGGGUGAAAUCCCGGGGCUCAACCCCGGAACUGCCUCCAAAACUUCCAAUCUAGAGAUCGAGAGAGGUGAGUGGAAUUCCAAGUGUAGAGGUGAAAUUCGUAGAUAUUUGGAGGAACACCAGUGGCGAAGGCGGCUCACUGGCUCGAUACUGACGCUGAGGUACGAAAGCGUGGGGAGCAAACAGGAUUAGAAACCCCUGUAGUCC